rnacentral:lncRNA from 1 species
GAAAUACACUUUUGAAGCCAUUACCAACUGUUUUAUUUCCCUUGAAGCCAUGUCAAGCUUAUCAAUUUCACGGUAGUUUGAUCGUAGAUAUUCUCAGCUUCAUGCAAACUACGAUGAAUCUUUUGAUCUUCCACUCAGCUAUCGGAUACCACUAUACAUUCAGGCUCAUGUUCAAAAUGAACGUGUAUCAUAAACCUUAUAAUCGAAACCAAAAUUGAGCACCAUUUCAGAUGCUAGUCGUCGCUGUCAAUUAGUUAUGAGCAGCCAGAAGAAACUAAUGGAGCUGCUGUACAUCAGUAGGAAGAUCUUAACAUUGAAAUGAGAUAGAAACCUACUGGGUUCCCUCUUUGCCAAUU